rnacentral:rRNA from 1 species
GACGAACGCUGGCGGCGUGCUUAACACAUGCAAGUCGAACGAUGAAGCCGGAGCUUGCUCUGGUGAAUUAGUGGCGAACGGGUGAGUAACACGUGAGUAACCUGCCCUUGACUCUGGGAUAACUGCUAGAAAUGGUACCUAAUACCGGAUACGACCCUCGGAGGCAUCUCCAGGGGGUGGAAAGAAUUUCGGUCAAGGAUGGACUCGCGGCCUAUCAGCUAGUUGGUGAGGUAAUGGCUCACCAAGGCGACGACGGGUAGCCGGCCUGAGAGGGUGACCGGCCACACUGGGACUGAGACACGGCCCAGACUCCUACGGGAGGCAGCAGGGGGGAAUAUUGCACAAUGGGCGCAAGCCUGAUGCAGCAACGCCGCGUGAGGGAUGACGGCCUUCGGGUUGUAAACCUCUUUUAGUAGGGAAGAAGCGAAAGUGACGGUACCUGCAGAAAAAGCACCGGCUAACUACGUGCCAGCCGCCGCCGUAA